rnacentral:tRNA from 1 species
GUGAUACAGCAUAUGAGCGCCCUUUCACGGCGGUAACACGGGUUCAAAUCCCGUCGGGGACGCCA